GCUAAGCGUGGUGCAGGGGGCGCUGUAAGAAGGAGCGUGCGAACGUUGUUCGGAAUCACGGGGCUUGAAGGGGGCGUAGGCGGGUUGCCGCGGCCGGGGGGAAAUGCCACGGCUCAACCGUGGAACUGCCUCGGAUACGGGCGGCCUCGAGGGAGGUAGGGGCAUCGGGAACUGUGAGUGGAGCGGUGAAAUGCGUUGAUAUUCACAGGAACUCCGGUGGCGAAGGCGCGGUGCUGGACCUCAUCUGACGCUGAGGCGCGAAAGCCAGGGGAGCGAACGGGAUUAGAUACCCAUGUAGUC
rnacentral:rRNA from 1 species